rnacentral:rRNA from 1 species
GACGAACGCUGGCGGCGUGCUUAACACAUGCAAGUCGAACGAUGCAGCCGUGCUUGUACCGUGGAUUAGUGGCGAACGGGUGAGUAAUACGUGAGUGACCUACCUUUGACCCUGGGAUAAGCCUGGGAAACUGGGUCUAAUACAGGCUACGACCACUCUCUGCACGGGGUGUGGGUGGUAAGCGUUAUGGAGUGGUUUUAGAUGGGCUCACGGCGUAUCAGCUUGUUGGUGAGGUAUUGGCUUACCAAGGCGACGACGGGUAGCCGGCCUGAGAGGGUGACCGGCCACACUGGGACUGAGACACGGCCCAGACUCCUACGGGAGGCAGCAGUGGGGAAUAUUGCACAAUGGGCGCAAGCCUGAUGCAGCGACGCCGCGUGGGGGAUGACGGCCUUCGGGUUGUAAACCUCUGUUAGCAGCGAAGAAGCGAGAGUGACGGUAGGUGGAGAGGAAGCGCCGGCUAACUACGUG